GCGCCGCCGUCGCCGAUGUCGGCGGCGACGGCGUGCGGGUCGCGGCCCUGGCAGAGGGCGGCCAGGUGCACGAGGUUCGACACCCCGGGCCGGGCG
rnacentral:tRNA from 1 species